rnacentral:sRNA from 1 species
ACCCAUACAUCCAAGGGCUGGAGCUUA